CCUGUAGAACAUGAGGACCACGGAGGUCCAGAGCCGUAUCAGUUUGAUCCGUUAGCAGGGGCAGCGAGUGAUCAGGACAGUGAGGUGCAGUAGAGGAUGGGGGAUGUCUCUGAAUGGUAGGCUACACGAGGCCUCCUGCAGGAUUUAUUAUGACUUUUACAUUUUAGACAGAUAACCAUUUUAAAAUGUACAAUCGCUAUAUUUCACAGUAAUGCACUUUUGAUUUGUUUUCCUGUACAACAGGUGUUCCUGUAGUCACUGUUCCAAGCUCUCUCCUCGAGAGAAUGUCUGCUGCAAGGAGGUGGUAAAGGUAACAGCACACCAAGAGCUACAACAGAACAAUGUGAUGCAUAGAUGUGAGCAGGUUGGGGUUGCAGCCUGAAUAACUGCUCACCCAGGUUUCCAACCAGUUGCUCUCAACCCCUAUGUGCUGCAGGCUGUGUAUGGGACAUACAUACAGCUCUAUGGGGAGAUGCAGACACCAGAUCUCAAGAGUUCCUACAGACACCUGGCAUACUGCAAUUUUGUGCGGUGGUGCUGGGGAUACAUGGACCAGAACAUCAGGGAGGUCAUCCCUUCUUGUGUUGUCACCCACAUCAGACGAGAGUUUCCUGAACAUGGUUUCCAACUCCCUCCCCUUGAAUAAAAACAUUGUUAUGUCCAUUCCACGUUUUUGUUGGGGCAGUAUGUUUCUCUACAACCUGAUGUGGAAGUUGAUGCCGCCCAGUAAAGAUGGUUUACCACCGACAUCCUUUGUUUUUGUUAUUUUUUUGCCAGUGCAUCCAUUUAUUUCCCAAUC